UGCCAGCCGCCGCGGUAAUACGGAGGGUCCGAGCGUUAUCCGGAAUUAUUGGGUUUAAAGGGUCCGUAGGCGGGCCGAUAAGUCAGAGGUGAAAGUUUGCAGCUCAACUGUAAAAUUGCCUUUGAUACUGUUGGUCUUGAGUUAUGGUGAAGUUGGCGGAAUAUGUAGUGUAGCGGUGAAAUGCAUAGAUAUUACAUAGAACACCGAUUGCGAAGGCAGCUGACUAACAAUUAACUGACGCUGAGGGACGAAAGCGUGGGUAGCGAACAGGAUUAGAUA
rnacentral:rRNA from 1 species